rnacentral:rRNA from 1 species
UACGUAGGGUGCAAGCGUUAAUCGGAAUUACUGGGCGUAAAGCGUGCGCAGGCGGUUAUGCAAGACAGAUGUGAAAUCCCCGGGCUCAACCUGGGAACUGCAUUUGUGACUGCAUGGCUAGAGUACGGUAGAGGGGGAUGGAAUUCCGCGUGUAGCAGUGAAAUGCGUAGAUAUGCGGAGGAACACCGAUGGCGAAGGCAAUCCCCUGGACCUGUACUGACGCUCAUGCACGAA